AAACUAGUUGUUCUUACCAGACAUACGCAGGUGAUGCAGGGGUUGUCGGUGAUGUUGGGGAUGUGGAGGACUUCUCCUUCGUUCUCACAGCUGGCCUCGGUACCUGCGAGGGACAGCAGGAAGGUGAAAAAGGAAGUUAAUGUCAUGAGCUGGGAGCUGAACCAGGGUCAUCAGAGUUCAUCAGCUGUAAUGUUGCAGUUUCUCCAUCGGGAUUAAGGCUUAUCUCAUCUUACCUUAACAACUGUUAAACCUUCUACACUGCACAGUGAUAAAACGCGCUAAACACACCAAGACUGAUACUUGUAAACAUAAAAUGAAAGACUAAGACCUUUUUGAGCAAUAUUUGGUCAAUCUCUUAUCAGUGUACUGUGACCGCUGACUCUGCUGGCUGUUUGGUUUCUCCUAAUGUUGAUGAUUUAGUAAUUGAAUAAUUUGUGGGGUUACAGGUUACGUUAAAAAGCCCAAUUUACGACCACCACACCCACUGUGUUGUAUACUCUGUGAAAGCCCGUCCUCCAUGGUCACAUUAAAAGUGGAACGUAAUGUUAGUGAUGGGAAUUACGGCUCUUUAAAAAGGAGCCAGAUCUUAUGGCUCCAUUUCUUUUUGAGAGCCGGCUCCUUCGGCUCCCAAACGGCUCUUCAUUCAUUACCACUUCCACUGGUCACUGGUCAGUUACAUUUUAUUUGUUGCAAGAAAAAAAAUGUGCAAGAUUCUUCAUCUGCAAUACAUUGAAGAUGGGAGCUGGCUCAUAGAGGACGUACUAGGACUAACUAGUGCUACACUGCCAUGCAGUUCUUUAUUUCAUCAACCGUGCCCCCACGCACAAAGCCAGCUCCAUAAAGAAAUGGUUUCCCCAGGUUGCUGUGGAAGAACUUGACUGGCCUGCAGAGACCUCAACCCCAUCCAACACCAUUGGGAUGAACUGGAACUGGACUGUGAGUCAGACCUGAUCACCCAACAUCAGUGUUGGACCUCACUGAUGCCCUUGUGUCUGAAUGGGAGCGAAUCCCUGCAGCCAGGUUCCAGCAUCUGGCUGAAACCAGCAGAGUGGAGGCUGUUAGAGCAGCAGAAUAAUGCCCAUGGUGUCGGAAUGCAACGUUCAACUUCAUCACAUAUGGAUGUAUUGUUCGGGUGUGCACAUACUUUUGGCUAUGUAGUCUACUCUGUUUAUACAUAUGCUUUGGCACCAUGUUUUAGAUCAAAAUGUCAUGGCAAUAAAGUUUUGUUGAACUGAA